rnacentral:rRNA from 1 species
CACGUAGGGGGCGAGCGUUGUCCGGAAUCAUUGGGCGUAAGAGCUCGUAGGCGGCUCGGUAAGUCGGGUGUGAAACCCCCAGGCUCAACCUGGGGACGCCACCCGAUACUGCUGUGGCUAGAGUCCAGUAGGGGAGUGUGGAAUUCCCGGUGUAGCGGUGAAAUGCGCAGAUAUCGGGAGGAACACCAGCGGCGAAGGCGGCACUCUGGGCUGGAACUGACGCUGAGGAGCGAAAGCGUGGGUAGCAAACAGGAU